ACAAAUGGAGUUAAGGUGUUGAAAAGGUGAAACCUCCAACCGGUAGCCCAAUAUCUAUGUUAAUGGCUACUCCAGAUGGCUCAUAUGCAUUACCAAGCGGUUGAUGUUCGUAAGCUAAAUGAGUGUCAGAGAUACCAUCAUAUCUCAGUAAAUCAGUGUUUGUCGAGCACAAAUUGUUCUUGCCGAUGAUUAGUUGCCCAAAAAUACUGUAAGACAUACUGUAAAAAGAAUUCAAGAGGCCGAUAACAGCAGCGGAGAUAAUAAAGGCCGUGAUUCCCAGUUGCAAGGUCUGCAAUUUUUUCUGUCUUCGAGUCUUUGGAAUGUUGCUGUUAUGGAAUGCCCGAGGAAAAUAUAACUUCGGAAUCAAGAAGUUUCGAAAGGUAGCUUGGCAAAUCAGCCCAACCAAAGCUGCUCAGAAGUACAACUUAGAUACAAGUUGUUUUUUCAAAUAUGUGUGAGUCCUUGUAUUGAUAUCUAUCAGGCUAACGAGUGAUGCCACUAUGGAUAUGAUCUUCUAGUGAAAUUUGUAUAUACAUUCAUUUAUGCACGUAUGUAUAUUAAUGUGUUAACUGUACCAAAUAUUUAUCAUUUAAUAUUUUUAUUCACGGCAA